GGCAAUAUCAAUAGUGCUCCGCCCAAAAUAUUAGGCGUGAAGCCUGUCUUGGUGGCAAUAUCAAUAGUGCUCCGCACAGAAAUGAAAAUACAUAUAAUCAUAACCAAUAGUCUUCUGUUUACAUCUUGUGCACAGUAGGACAAUAUCAGUUGUUCAUUAUAAUACUAUUUUUGUGUAUUACUUGCAAAUAGUAUCACAAAUAACCAACUUCCUAUUGUAGGACAGGUAAAUAGUAGACUCUGAAAGCUUGUGGCACUUGAGUCAUUCGAGAUGACAGUUGUUCAAUGGUGUUAGGAUGCCAUAAACAAAAUGCCUAAGUUGGCAAGUGAAGUCAAGCAUCUCUUUAUAAAGGUGGAACUCAAAGGGGAUCCUAACGCCCUUCAGCCUUUUCCAGUUUGAUUUUGUUGAUUUCUUUAACAGCCACCCCAAGCUAAUAAAAUUUGACCUCCAUGGUUCCGUGCUGCUCUUUCUCAAAGAAAACAAUUUGAGAAAUAUGAGUCUGCUAUUUUUCAUUGCCCAACUGUUCCACAUGGUGCACUUAACGCUUGUGUCUUCAAGCACAUAAUAGCUUGUAGUCCACUAUUUCCUAUGAGUACAGGAUGUAAUGCGCAUCUUAGUAGUCAAUCUUGCUAAUCUGAAAGCAAUAGCAUAGCAAAAUAAUAAGCAGGAAAAGAGAAAGAUAAAAGCUACCAUUCAACAUGUAAAUUUCAAUAAUUGCAGUGAAGCAAUCUUAAGGAGCUAACGGCUUAAUUAUGCUAUAAAACAAAAGGAUGUUACACAAUUAUUCUCCUUUAAAGGCAUAAAAAACCAACAAUCAACUUACCGCUUUUGAUGUCCCACGAUUCUGCUCGUUUAAAAACGAAGGAGAAGGAUAGGGGUCGCUAGGUCAGAAAAGCGAUAACUAAAAAAUCUCCCCAAGUAGGAUUCGAACCUACGACCAAUCAGUUAACAGUCGACCGCUCUACCACUGAGCUAUUGGGAACAUCGGACUUAAUGUUGGAAGCCGACUCUCGUUCUUUGGACCAACCUAUGACCGAAUACAAAUGAGUUCGUCGCUCCUUUUCAUAUAUUGGGAGAAAAGGUUACGAUAGCAAGCCUCUCCCCGGCCGGAGAGCCUCCAGGACAAGGAGGCGGCAAUAAAAUCAAAUUUACUGCUGAAGAAUAAUAUAGUAAAAAUGCUCAUAAAUAAAAUAAAAUAAGGAAAUUUGACUAAACCAUUAAUUUUUCCUUGUUUAUUCUUUUUCCUAAUAUCUAUCUUGUUCAUGUGUAUAUACCUACAUCUAGUAUCUCCUAGCAAGCAACGACAAUCUCCUCGAUGGGAAAAUUAGAGCUUCACUUUUUGCUGCAACAGCUGGCUAUUGGAUUCGUUUGAACUUAACAGAAUACAUUAACCAUACAUUAUUCAGGUUCCUUGUUUUUAUUUUUUAUUUUUUUGGUUUCAGGUUCAUCCAGUAUAAAAAAUUAAAUUAAAAAGGUAGAAGCACCAAUAUUUUGUGUAAUUUCUACUCCAAUUUCAGAAACGCAACUAAACUUUCAGAUAAAAAGAAGAAUAUGGCUUAAUCAUUAAACCAGACGACAUAAAGAACAUAAACUCCAAUAUAUUGCAUCUAGUUUCAAAUAACAGAUAAGGAAAGAAUUAUGGAUAUCCCGUGCAACCACAUGGAAUGUGUGUAUGUGUUCAAGUGUUUCAGAAUAAAUUCUGCAGCUGACAAGUUCGACAAGAACCAGAAUGUACAUAGACUUCCACAGUUGAAGAGCAACUAACCAAUACAUAAUUGCAAUGUGAUAACUAAAAGUGGCUUCAUCAAGAUUAUAAACUUGCUAAUCCCUUAAUAUUCAAUAAUCUCUUCUUUCUAUUAAUAAUGCACCUUAAAUUUUACAGGCUUGAUCAAUUGAAUUCCUAGAGCCUUUGGGAAUAUCAUCCUUCCUCCAAAUACAAAUGAACAGAACACACUUUUCAAAGUGGACUAAGACGCUAAAGCUAAAGCCCUUCCUGUAAGAUAUAUAUAUAAAAAAAAGAAAAAAAAAAAAAAGAAGAAGAAGAAAACAAAAACAUGAAACUGGGUAGAAAUAUCUUGCUCAAGAGACUCUUCAUACUUCUCUCCUGCUCAAGCAACCAUGGUCUCACCACUUUAGGAUAAAAGGUUUCUAAAUUUAUGUGAUGAGCUAAACAACUCAGUGAACCCGCCAAAGUUUUACUCUAUUUUUUUUUCGUUAAUGCAAUUAAUCUAUCCACUAUGAGUUAAAAGUACGUCAUAUUCCCUGAAUGCACGCCUGCUUGUUCCCCUCAAACCAUGAAAUAAGUCCUCAUUCGUAUUCUCAUUAACUCGCAGAUGUCCUGAAAAAAUAAUCCUUCCAUAUAGCCCAAACUUCUACACCUCUAUAAUUAGUAGUCUCUGGCAGUCUGCUUCGACACUAACUAUUUGGCAAAAACAGAUGCUUACAAGGAAUUCUACCUUCACUAUUGGCAUGUUUUGUUUGGUUCCUCAAAAGGGAGCGAAUGGAAAGAGGUAGAGAGACUUACGGGUUUACCUCUAAUUGUUUGGUAAGUUGGUAUAAUUGCAAAUGAAUUAGAAAAAGAGCAAAGCUGCAUAUGCCUCCACUUUACCUUUUUUGAAACCAAGAGAGAAAACUAUCACUGGUUAUUUCUUCAGCAUAUCAUUCAAAUUACCAAAUAAAAUGAGUCGUACAUAUUAUCAAACACAUAGGGUGCAUAUUCCCACUUCAAAUCAUAAAUUGACAGAGAAAUUUAAAGAAAAAGCAUAGGGCAUAUGAAGAGACCCAGUCUUCCAACAAUAAGUUUGAUACCUUAUUUUUGCAGGACGGAUUAAUUAUUCACUAAUCAGUAGCAUAAGAAAAAAUUCAUCAAUAAGACAUAAUGCAUGUUUAGAUUAGGUACAAUUACUCACAUGCAAGUAAAAAUUGUAGCAGCACACUUUUCAAAAAGAACAGCAAAACUAUGUUCUUAUAGUCUCGGGAACAACUACUAAUUUUCAAGACAAAUCCAUAUAAAAUUAGGAAGGUCGAGAAUGUGGUUUGCUUUCUAUUAACAACUGAAUCAGCAACAAGGUUUCCAAUAACUCCUAUUAGAAGAACAUCACAUACCAUCAAUGAAAAAACCAGAAAGGUCCGACACUGAAACAGAGGCGGCUUAACACAGUUUGGGACUUGAACCAAAGUGUAAUGAGGGGCCUUAAGUUCUUCUAAAAAAAAUUAUAUAUAUUUUAUUUAAAGGCUAUUUUCUAGCUUUUUGAGUUACAAAGUUAUUAAUAAUUUUUUUAUAAUCUAUUUCCUCUAACAAUUCUUUUUCAAUUGAUAAAAUGGCUAAUCCAUUUAAUCUCUCUUGCGACAGAGUUGAUCUUAGGUAAAAUUUUAUCAAUUUUAAUUUUGAAAAACUUCUUUCCGCAGAGGCAAUUGUUAUAGGAACUGUUAACAUUAUUCUAUAAGCAAUAUAGGCAUUUGGAAAAGAAUCAAGUUUUUUAUCUGAUUGAGUAUGUCGACUAGAGUAUUAUCUUCUACUUGUACUAUUUCCCUCAAUACUUUUAAUUCAGAAAAUAAGUCUAGACCGUCAAUAUCAGAGUGAUUAUUAUGUCUUAAAGACAUUUCAAGGUUAAGGCAAAAAAAAUUCAAAUUCUCAUCAUCUAAUGACUUUAAUUUUUUACCACUAAACAAAAAACCAAAAAUAUGUUCAUACGCUUCGAAUUGUUCAAAUCUAUUUUGAAGCAAACGAAUGGCUUGAUCUACUAUAUACAAAAAGUAAUCUAUUCUAAAAGAUUCUUCAAGAGACUUUAUGGUUUCAUUUUCAACAUUCUCUUCAAAUUGUAUUUUUCUAUAUAUGACACGUUUUUUUACGAAAUUCAGGUUCUAUAUUCAUCUCAGAUGCAAUUUCCUUAGCAGAAAUCAUAGCAGUUGUGAACCCUUCUUCUCUAUAUCUUUGAAAAUAAGAAAUAAGGCCUCUUAGUUGAUCUAUGGCUACAUCAAUAUGCAUAUCUUUUGAUUGCAAACUUUUACUAACUGAAUUAACAGCAAACAACAUAUUAUACCAAAUAGUCAUACCCAAUAAAAACUCAAAAUUUUGAAGCUUGUAUGUCGCUAAACAAUUUACUUCACUUUUAGUUUUUGGAUCCACACUAGCUUCUACUAAUUUCAAUAAAGCAUCUCUUAUUUGUGGAGUUUGAAAUCUUGCCAUCAAAGUAGAUUUCUAAACGGAAUUAAAAUUUUAACUCUAAACUAUAAUAAGCAGCAUAAAAAUUUUAUUGUGAAAGUAUGAGUCUUAUGAGAUUGCAGUCAUAUCAUAUUGUGAAAUUUUAAGUAAUAAAAAAUCAAUACAUAUUAUAUAAAAAAAAAUUCAAUCCUCUCUUAAUUGACUAAUGACUACCAAAUCAGUCCCAAGUACAAUAUGUAGGAAAAAAAAUGCUUGAAAAGAAAGAAAAAAGUUAUCAUUAAAAAACAAAUUGUACUUACCAACUUUGUAUUUUAUUCCACAAAGAAUGAUCACAAGAUUCUUGUAAUUCUUUUGACAGGAAGGAGUAAGAAACUAAGAAUUAUCAUAAAGCUUUUUAGAAAUUAACAAAGAAAAGAAUUAAAGAAGAAGGCAGAGGCGGUUGAAGAAGGCAAGGUAGGGUAUAAACUUUGUAGUUGUGAAUAAAUAUAAAGAAAAAAAAGAAGAGAAGUCACUCCCCAAAAGGCAGAAACAGUAAAAGCAACCAUUCAUAUCCCCGACAUCCAGUAAUGAUAAAAGUAAACGUUGUUUUCCUUUUCCACAGCAAAAUUAUAGCUUUUCACAUUAAAUACUUAAAUUUUUUAAAAGGAAAAUAAAUACAUAAACCUAAAAACACUAAAAGAUGGGGCCUUCAAAUUUAGGGGGCGUAAAGCCCUAGCCUUACCUGCCUUGGGCUUCAGCCGCCUCUGCACUGAAAGAGUAAAGACAAAAGAGAAGCACAUAAUAAAGCUUAGAAACUCACAAAGAGAAAGAGAGAACAUCCAAAGCAAUGGAAGAGAAAGUGAAUUUCAGGGUUUGAGACCCAAAAUCUA
rnacentral:lncRNA from 1 species